GAUGAACGCCGGCGGUGUGCCUAAUACAUGCAAGUCGUACGCACUGGCCCAACCGAUUGAUGGUGCUUGCACCGGAUUGACGAUGGAUCACCAGUGAGUGGCGGACGGGUGAGUAACACGUAGGUAACCUGCCCCGGAGCGGGGGAUAACAUUUGGAAACAGAUGCUAAUACCGCAUAACAACAAAAGCCACAUGGCUUUUGUUUGAAAGAUGGCUUUGGCUAUCACUCUGGGAUGGACCUGCGGUGCAUUAGCUAGUUGGUAAGGUAACGGCUUACCAAGGCGAUGAUGCAUAGCCGAGUUGAGAGACUGAUCGGCCACAAUGGAACUGAGACACGGUCCAUACUCCUACGGGAGGCAGCAGUAGGGAAUCUUCCACAAUGGGCGCAAGCCUGAUGGAGCAACACCGCGUGAGUGAAGAAGGGUUUCGGCUCGUAAAGCUCUGUUGUUGGAGAAGAACGUGCGUGAGAGUAACUGUUCACGCAGUGACGGUAUCCAACCAGAAAGUCACGGCUAACUACGUGCCAGCAGCCGCGGUAAUACGUAGGUGGCAAGCGUUAUCCGGAUUUAUUGGGCGUAAAGCGAGCGCAGGCGGUUGCUUAGGUCUGAUGUGAAAGCCUUCGGCUUAACCGAAGAAGUGCAUCGGA
rnacentral:rRNA from 1 species